rnacentral:rRNA from 1 species
UCCAUGCCGUAAACGAUGUCUACUAGCCGUUGGGGCCUUUGAGGCUUUAGUGGCGCAGCUAACGCGAUAAGUAGACCGCCUGGGGAGUACGGUCGCAAGACUAAAACUCAAAUGAAUUGACGGGGGCCCGCACAAGCGGUGGAGCAUGUGGUUUAAUUCGAUGCAACGCGAAGAACCUUACCUGGUCUUGACAUAGUAAGAACUUUCCAGAGAUGGAUUG